UGCAGUAAAUUUCAUCAUGCACAUGAGUGAAGUACAGCUCAAGAAGGGGGAAACCCGCAAUCUUCGCAUAUACUGCAAGUGACGCGCCCCACCUUGGAUGUUGCGGGCAGGUCCAGGAAGUAGGCGCACGACACCACCGCCGCGACGGCCGUGCUGAUGAUCGGGUGAAGAGGGCACGCACGCACACGCACAUACGCCGAUACACAGCAGCCAGCGGGCGGGUACCCAGCAGCGGUUCAACAGGUGGGCGGGACAUGGCUGGUAGAUGCCAAGCAAGCAAGGACACAAAGUGAGAAGGACACAAGCAGGAACAAGCACGAACAAGCAUGGAUGCAAUCAGGAACCCACAAGGACAAAGUAGGAGCGCCCAUAAAAAUGGACGCUGCCAGCGCUGCAGCACGCGAACGUGCAUUAUAAGACAGCAGCAAGCCGAUCACCAGUCUGAGCGCACACACACACACACACACACACACACACACACACACACACACACACACACACACACACACACACACAUACACUCACGACAAAGCCUUGGUGUGCACAAUCUUCCUCGGCAGGCAGCACCGCUGGUACCCCGCGUUGUCAUAGUACUGCAACAUGCAAACACGCGGUAGGUAGGGAGGGCGGGCGGGGAUUGCUUGUUUACACCCACUGCCGUCCAUGCCCAGUGAUACUAAUGGCAAAACAAGGAGACGGGGACGCGCUUACUAAAUGCCAACUACGGUGGCGCGCUCGCUCGCACUCACGUGCUCGGCGCGGCUCGACAUGAGCCAGGCGAGGUAGAGCGCGUGUGCACCGGCGCGCGGCACCUGUGUGUUACAACACCGACAACAAAUGAUGAAAGCCACGCCCGUGAUGAAGAAGCCCUGCUGCGAAAAAGCCCCCAGCUGUCAUGUAAGCUAAACGUUGUUACAGACGCUUCAGCCAAAACACCCGAUGCGCAACCAGCAUACCGCAUGCACCUUUGCGCUGGCCCAGGACUGGCCCUUGCCAAACAACGUCUCUGCCCGCUCUGUGCCCAGGUAGUGCGCACUCGGCUUCGGGGCGUCCUCCAACGCCUGCAGCAGCGGCGCAAUUGGGCUGUACGGUGCCGCCAGCGGGUACGGCACCUCGGGCGCAAUCCACGCCGUAUCCGGGUCGUUGUACGGCUCGCCGUACAUCUGCUGGUACAGCACCGCGGUUCUGCCGUACGCUUCAGCUCGCAUGUCGGGCGACAGGGCUAGGUAGUCGGGCCGCCACAGCUCCGCCGGCAGCUGCUGCAGCGGGCUGUCCUUUUGCAGGCGUUUGAACAUCAGCACCCACAUCUCCGCGUACUUGUCGCUCAGGCCGAGGUAGGUGUGCCAGAUGAGUGCGAUGUCCGCCGCCGGCACCAGCACCUCUUGCGGGUACGCUAUGUGCAGGCGCAGGAACUUGGAGAACCUUUGCACGGUAUGUACAUGACACGGCAACUGUGAAGACACGUUCUCAUAAAGCUAAGUACCAGUGUAACAAGUGCUACUGCGUGUGGGUGGGGGGCGGUCCUACCAACCUGCACAAGGAACGUUAGCGCCUGACCCCUGCGCACCUGCCCCACGCGCGCUGCAGGAAGGCGCUGUCCAGGAAGUGCGGCCGCAUCCAGGUGUGCAGCAGCCGCGAAAAGUGGACCAUGGCGUUGGCCUGCAUAUUAAGUUGAAUGCAUUACUGUCGCUGCAGCUGGGAAAUUUCCAACACGCUUUUUGCGGAUUGCCGUACAUGGUAUUGUACGGUUGCUACAUGGAUGCCGCCUCACUUGCUGCCGAACGCAAGAACAUCAAUGCACGUGGCCCGAACCCCCUCACCAGGUCCACGGCGGCGUUGCGGAAACUGCUGGUGCAUGUCCGACACUCGCUCUCUACACCAUAGCUGGAGCCCGGGGCCGGCGGCGGCCAUUGUGGGUGUUCCCCCGCCACCUUCUUCCACUCCGUCCGGUCCGCGCAGUCGAUUGAGAACCCAAAAGCCUGUUCCGCACUGGCGGGGUGCGGCUUGGCCACGCCGAGGGCCGUCAUGGCGGACUUGUAGCCGGCCGGGUCCUGCCGGUGAACCAGCCUGGUGGAUGUGUGUGUGUGUGUGGGGGGGGGGUAGAUGGGGAGGGGGGAGGAGACCAAAUCGGCGAUGCGACCGUGCGGGAACGCGCAGCGGAAGGAAACGUCGGAGUAUCGAUGCUCAAGUGCCAGUGUCCCAGCCACAUACUGUGCACUCAAGCACGCGGCACUCUGCACGAACGCCAGGGCUCCUGUCCAGCAGUAGAAAGCCAAUACCGCCAAGGUCGUCAAGCGACUUAUGGAUGGGGCAGUUACCGUGGAUGCACGCACGCACCAUGCGUACGCCACAUCCAGCGGAGGCAGGAUUGCCGCACUGCCCUUGCCCAUGGGCUGAACCCUUAACACCGCGGUCCAGUAGCGCUCAUAGCGCUGCGCUGCCUGAAUGGCGUAAUAGCCCGAGUAGAGCCCACCUGGGCGGGGGGCAUUGACCAGCAGGGGGAGAGAAAGCAGGCGGCAAUGUCGUCACGAAGCGAGCGAGUUGUGUGUGAGGCCAUCGACUAUGCUAGGCGGGCGUAAUAGCCCCGUGUCCAUGCAAGUAUUUCAACGUCUCACCCCGCGGGAACGUGUCGACAGCAUGCAGCAGGCGCAGAAAAUCGGCCACGAUGGAGUCCAGGAAAUAUGGCAAGUCCGCGUUCCCGGGCUCCAUCGGGCAGGCACAAUGCACAAGCUCUAAAGGGCAGCCUCUCUGGCAAUGAGGAGCUGCGCCUGGAGCAGCUUGCUGACCACAAAACAGUCUGGCCACGCACUAGGAGCUCCACUGCGUCAUGUCAUUGGAGCCAGUUGCUGUUGUAUAUAUAUUUAAAUGCCAAUUAGUGCAACCCCGCGGUCUCUUAUACCAGCUGUGUUGCAGUUAUGAAACCAACCGCUUGCUGGGAUUCGUGAAUGCUCGCGAGCAAGCCCCGCGCAGGCGAUGUGGAACGCUGCUGUGUUAUGUCAAUGAGCAGAGCGCUGGAGGCUCGUGCUCGCGCGUCGUUCGUGCCUGAAGUCACAGAACGCACCCACCUGACUUGAUGGCCCGAGCCUUGGCCCGAGCGCCCGGCCUGACCGCUGGACAGGAAGCGUUGCUGACUUGCUGUCGUCCCCCAGAGGAACAAAUUAAAACGCCGUUCUUGCCCUUGCGGUAAAAGUCGGCAAAUUGAAGCGGGCAGGGGGCGGGCACCAAGGGUUCCAGCGUGUGCCAUGGUCAUGAAAGUUUUGCUGGGUGGCAUGGGUGCAGCUGGGUGAACCUUUGUUGAUUGCACUGUCCCUUCUUGUACUGUGGCAUUCAUGUCGUCCAUACACACCUUCUCAUGCACAUGCUUUCAUUGCUCGGUAAAGUCUGACAUCAGAACCAGUCAAAACCGCCGCCGCACGCCCUGCACCGGCGGCGGCUGGACCCUGCCCUGCCCUGCCUGCUGAUCCAGCCCCUCCUUGUGAUUGGCGUUGACUUCCAUGAGCUCCUCACUCCGUACCACACCUGUGUCAUCGAUGCGAACAACUUUACCAGAGCAGUGGCCGCGGGCCCAACAGCGACACCGAGGACUCCGGGGUUGAGUCAAAUGAUGUAUGGGGCAGAUGAUGCGGCCCAGUUUGAGGAGCUGCGCAUAGUGGCGCAAAGCCGCACCCGCCAGUCGGCGCCGGCACCUAAGCGGUUUCGCGGCUGAUAAGUGCAUAUUCCGCACAUUCGUGCCUGUGCUGUCCAUAAGUGCAUGAUUGUAGAUAGCUGUAGCCUGGCAGCGCUGGGAGGGUGCUGGACUGAGUCUGGGGGCGGCUCUCCGCUGGGAAGGCUGCAGGGCGGGGCCAAAUCACGCAAUUCUGGUGACAAGGUGAACACAUAGAGCGUUUACAGUCAUUCUUUCAAGGCCCGAAACUGUGUUUGGCGAAAUCUGGUAUCAAUCGUAGCGUAGCAGUACGGUAGCCCUCAACCACCUCACCCUCGCACUCCACGCCGGCGGCACCCGAGCCCGCGCCAACACCCAAGCCGCCAAACCCUGCGGCGCAACUCAGAAACCGUUAUCUCGUCCCACGUUGCCCCCCAUCAUCAUAUGCACGGACACAAGCUAACCCCCAGCGCGCGGAGCAGGACGCAUACCUGGCCGCCACGUCCGACAUGAACAUGCCUGGCCCAUCUCCUCAUCUCCCAUGCAUUCUCCCCCCACUCCCUUAACCCUUAGGGCAGCCCUUAAGUCCUUAACGACACACAAGCCUCUAGGGCUCAGCUCCUAGCCUUACGAGCCUCGGCUCGUGAGGAAGCGCACAACAUUUUCGUUGGCGGCUUUGGCUUUCGUUACUAACUUUUUGUAGCCUUUUGCGGGCUCUGUGAGGCUUUACGACUUGGUUACGACUUGGUUUGGAUGGCUUCGGCCUUGGGUGGGUGCGUCGCGCCCUGUUUUCGGCAUCGCGCGUUCUGUGGCGGCUGGCCGCGUCUGGGUGGCCGGCCGCGCUCGUUCUGCUCUGUGGUCGCUUUUUGGUUUCGUGUGUGCAGGUUACGGGUGGCCCUGGUGGUCGCUCGUGGCCCGGCGCAAGCUUCGAUGUUCCGUGGUGCUCCUCGGCGCCUCUCCUCGUGCCGCCUGGCCCGCCGUCGUCUCCACCGGCGGCCUUGCUGGCUCAGCAGAUAGUUAGGUUGCGGGUGCCGUUCGUAGCAUGGCGGUUCAGGGACCGUUAGGCAGCAGGUGACGCUGGUCGGGUAGUCCCGGGUGUCGGGUUGUGAGUGCCCGGGCGGCUGUUGCCCGGGCGCCCGGGCGGCUGGUGCUCCUGUUCGCCUCCGGGCGCGCGCGUGCCUGUUUGAUGGGUCGGUCUAGUUCGCUGGUGGGGCGGGUGGAGGGCGGUGUGCCCGUGGCGAGGUGUUGUGGUGUACUGGUGGUUUGGUCAGUUUCCGGCUCGGUUUCCCUUUGUGGUGCCUCGGCACCGACGUUUCCGGACAUGGGCCUCCGGGCCAAGACAUUGCGCGUCUGUGACGCCGACGAGAAAAUGUGUGGUGCUUGCGUUUGAUGGGGAUGUCGGCAGACCUCUGGCCUGUCGCGCCUUGUUGUGCGUGGGUGCUGCCGCCAAAAGACCUAAACGAGAUGAGGGGUGUUACGUGGCGGUGGGGCUUUGGCGGGCUUCGGCUUGGCUUCGACUCAUGUGCGUAACACUAUGAAGGUCGGCAGCCAACCAGGGGGCGGGUGUUGUUUCUCUGGGUCGCAGAUGGCCCUUCGCGGCGUGGGUACGGCGUGCCCCCGCUUGUCGGGCUGUCCCUUCAAUUGUAAUCCGCAUCCUUAACUCGCGCCCUCUUCCGACAUCCCGUGGUGGUUGCCUUUUUUUUCCUACGCAUCUUCGGAAAACUCGCGCACGACGGGGUGUCUUUCUAUAUGCUUCUAUUCUUGUGUCCAGCAGGGCCCCCUCACCGGCGUGUGUGCUCUCCUGAUUCAAAGACACAUCCCCGCGUGCAACAUUAUUGGGACACGCAUGCAGCAGCCAACGCACAUUCCGCCAGCCAAUCAAAACCGGUCUAUCCGCCGCCGCACCCGCCGCACCCACCACCACCACCACCACCGCCACCGCCGCCCUCGCCUCCCCCACCUCCGCCGCCACCGUCGCCCCAGCCGCCACCCCAACCGCCACCGCCGCCGCCGCCGCCGCCGCCAUCACCGCCGCCCACAGCCAUAAUGGAUCCAUCGAACUGAUUGCGCCGCGGAUCAUCGAAGGCGUAGCCAUCCGCCUGCAGCAUAAGUGCAUAACAGUGCGAUAUGAGGCUUGGCAUUACAACGAACCCGUGGCAUUGGCAAAAAGUUCUCCCUCUCCCUGUCCCUUUCCCUGUGCCUCAAGCAGGCAGAUGGAUGGGCGCGCGGCGCACAACAUUUGUUGAGGAAUGCAUCAAUUUCAAAACAAGCAAGCGAGCCCGCCGCCGAUCAACUUAUUGUCCGACGCCGCCGCCGCAUGCAUGAGCUGCGGACAACGCACGGCACGCACGUCAUGAUGCCGUACACUCACCCCGUACGCGUAGUACAGCAUGCCUGCGUGGUAGUAGUCAGUUGUGCCGUAGUAAUACACGCAGUCGCGGUCACGUGCGUUGAACUUCUUGUGCACAUACUCCCGCUGCAUGUGCCCCACACUGGUGGCAAUCGCCGUCUUCCAUGCGCUCCUGAACAGCAGCUGCGAUCAAGGAAGCAAGGCGGGCACUCACGGCAGCAAAACAUUGGGCGCAUGCACAUGCAACAGACAAUAAGAAUAGGCCAACCUGGAUGGACCGCAAGCAAGGACCGAGCAUGUACGGGCCACGCACGCGCACACGAAAGGUUUGCACACGUGGCGUGCGUGCCCGUGCGCAGGGUUACCGCCGGCGGCAUGUAAUGGCGGCGCACUGAUGUGGUCUGGUGGGCUGAUGACAUGACAACCGAGCGAGCGACUCCAUCUAUGCCAUAGCUAGACAGUAGGGAGGGGUUGGCGCAGGUCCGGGCUGAGGAGCAACCCAUACAUGCCAUCCCGGCCCGACCCGCCGCAUCUGCCAUCCCACCUCCCACCCCAUCCCGCGCACGCACGUAAACUGAACGCACACUUGCACAUACCGUACACAUACACACACACACACGCAUCGUGUCAACAUUCUUGCGUCCCUUGCGCUUCCUGAGCACAACCACACACGUUCAGCUUCCUAACACACCUGCGCGAGCUCGGCGGCGGCCUUGUCGCCCAAGAUGCUCCACAGCAGCGCCACACUGCCCCGGGCCCCUCCUGCUGCACCUGCGCCGCCGCCGCCAUCUUUGCCGCCGCCACCUUUGCCGCCACUGCUGCCGCCGCCGCCAUCUAGUUGCAGCAGCUGAUUCAGCCCUAUCAGCAGGUGUUCCUGGCUGCUGGGGCGCAGGAGCAGCUCCACAUCGAUAGGCGAGAAGCCGCCGCCGGCGGCGGGCUGCUGCUGCAGCGCCUGUGACUGUGGCGACGGCGCUGGUGGCUGUGGCGGCUGCUGCCCGGCGGCGGCACUAGUACUGCUGGCCGCUGCCGCCGUCGCGCCUGCAGCAGCUGUGCAAAGUAGAAAGGCAUCAUGCAUCGUAGCGGUCGCAUUGACGCAGUGCAUGACGGUGCUAGCUGUGCGCGCGUGCAGGUGUGAAGAGCUACUGCUGCUAGCUUAUUCUGCUAGCUCCUGCUCACAGUCGGUCUAGCCAGCUAGCUGUAAGCAUGAGAGAAGUUGCAGAACCUGACUCACUGUACGGCGGCUUCCACUGCCUGUUGCUGACGUUGAUGCAACGGAGGUAGGGGUGCUGCGUGCAUUGAAUUUCACCAUACACUUGAUGAGUGCAGUACUGCUCAAGGAGACGAAACCCCGCAACCUUCGCAUAUAUUGCAAGCAAGUCACGCACGCGCCCCACCUUGGAUGUCGCGGGCAGGUCCAGGAAGUAGGCGCACGACACCACCGCCGCCACGGCCGUGCUGAUGGCAGGGUAGGGGGCACACACACAUACACAUCUUUGCGCUUUGUGCGUGGGUACCCAGCAGCAGGUCAACAGGUGGGCGGUACAUGGCUGGUAGAUGCCUAAGAUACC
rnacentral:lncRNA from 1 species